CAGGGAUUGCGAAUGCCUUGUCAAACGCGGGCUCUGCUCUCUUCCGUGCAGUUGCCUCAUGCAAAACUGACUGAGAAGAAGGCUGACCAGCUGGCGCGCUCUGUCGCUCAGCCGAGAUCUGCGCGCUUCUCGUGCUCGUCGUUUCUCUUGCGGAUGGGGACAGGCCCGAGUGUUCUGAGAGGCCGCUGAAAAGCGAUGAACCGGCUUUCGAAACGGGAACCAGUGGCAAAAGUCUAAACGGACAGAAUCUCGUUCCUUACCGAGCGGCUCUGCCCAACACCAGACUCAGGGAGAAGACAGUUUCGCGGUAUCUCUUCUCACGAACGGCCUAGCGUGCUUCCAUCGCAUAUCUGUGGAGGCCAAAGGACCCUUCCUUUGUCUCUCGGUGGAGGCUCAUGAUCCCAAAGGCCGCGCGCCAGUGAACCGAGAGGGAGCGCAGAUAGGAAGGAGACAAGACAAGAGCACUCUGGGCCGUUCCAUCGUCCACUGCUCCGACAGCAGAUGUCUUUCAGGCUGAUCAGACACAGUGUCAAGAAUCUCCAUGUCCAUUUCAGGGGAUUUCUUCGGGAGCGGCGGGUUGGCAGCUAGGCGGCGUGAGGCAGGGAUAAGCUUUCCGGCAUGUCUCCAUCUCGGCGCAGGUCAUACGGCGCCUGCUCUAUGGAGAACUCGAGGGGUUCUUGAGAUGCCAGCGCCAUCGACCGGCGUCGGGGAGGGGUUUAUCACUUCGGACUCUCGCGCAGAGCCGUUCAGUGAGCCGCGUACUCGGCCAGCAUCAAGAGGCUGUCGACAGGCACGCCUGCGAACAUGAGGUUCGUUUCUUGUUGCGUGUCCCGUCUCCACGAACGAACAAGAAGCCUCUCUUCGGAGGUCUUCUCUCGGAAUGACGGCCUGCGACAGCCCUUGAGAGGCCAAAACUCUCAAUCGUCAAGAAAACACAGGGGGGACAGCAGGAGGCGAAUGUGCUGCUCGGCGAGCCUUGGCCAGGUGGCGCCCAAGGAGCCCGAACCGCUCGCAUGCUUCGUCAGCUGCCCCAUUCCAACAAGACGGAGCCGCCGGCACCGAAGCCCGAAGAUUUCGCCUCUGUCUCCUAACACACACAGUUCCACUCGAGGAUAGACCAUGGAAACCCCAGGGGCCCGAACGCUAGGUUCUCCACAACCCAUCUCUCACCCCCUGCCCCUACCCGUUGUGGUCCCACAAAAACCACAAGAAAGAAGUUGCCUCACGACCGGCAUCCGGCUGCUGGCGUUGUCCGGCGGGUUCGUGUCUCAUUCCCAUGCGUUUGACGUUCCGUGUACUCGGGGCAAGGCGCGUUCAGCGGGAAUGUUUCAAAAGUUCGUUUAUCUCCACCGUACGGCGAACAUGUUCGUUUCGCGGGCGUAUCACCGUUUGGAAUCAGGCGGUACACUGGGGCGAGUGAGGCAACUGAGGCUUCCUAGGGGAGAGCUAGGUGCCAAGCCAAAGUGAUGCUUCUUUACAGCUGUACGCGAGUUCCCUAGAAGCAAGC
rnacentral:lncRNA from 1 species